rnacentral:rRNA from 1 species
AGCGAACGCUGGCGGCAGGCCUAACACAUGCAAGUCGAACGAACCUUUCGGGGUUAGUGGCGGACGGGUGAGUAACACGUGGGAACGUGCCUUUAGGUUCGGAAUACCUCAGGGAAACUUGUGCUAAUACCGAAUGUGCCCUUCGGGGGAAAGAUUAAUCGCCCUUAGAGCGGCCGGCGUCUGUUUAGCUAGUUGGUUGAGGUAAUGGCGCACCAAGGCGACGAUAAGUAGCUGGUCUGUGAGGAUGAUCAGCCACAUUGGUACUGAGACACGGCCCAAACUCCUACGGGAGGCAGCAGUGGGGAAUCUUGCGAAACGGGCGAAAGCCUGACGGAGCCAUGCCGCGUGAAUGAUGAAGGUCUUAGGGUUGUAAAAUUCUUUCACCGGGGACGAUAAUGACGGUACCCGGAGAAGAAGCCCCGGCUAACUUCGUG